rnacentral:rRNA from 1 species
GAUGAACGCUGGCGGCGUGCUUAACACAUGCAAGUCGAACGGAAAGGCCACAGCUUGCUGUGGUACUCGAGUGGCGAACGGGUGAGUAACACGUGGGUGAUCUGCCCUGUACUUCGGGAUAAGCUUGGGAAACUGGGUCUAAUACCGGAUAGGAAUCACAUGUGGGUGUGUGGUUGGAAAGCUUUUGCGGUAUGGGAUGAGCUCGCGGCCUAUCAGCUUGUUGGUGGGGUAAUGGCCUACCAAGGCGUCGACGGGUGGCCGGCCUGAGAGGGUGUACGGCCACAUUGGGACUGAGAUACGGCCCAGACUCCUACGGGAGGCAGCAGUGGGGAAUAUUGCACAAUGGGCGCAAGCCUGAUGCAGCGACGCCGCGUGGGGGAUGACGGCCUUCGGGUUGUAAACUCCUUUCGUCAGGGACGAAGCGAAAGUGACGGUACCUGGAGAAGAAGCACCGGCUAACUACGUG